rnacentral:misc_RNA from 1 species
GUGUUAUGAAUAGUUUCAAUAUAUUUAUCAAGAAUGGUAUUUUUGUUAAGAGGUUCUUUGAGUUGUGUUAUUUAUUCUUUACUCUGUUUAAAAAGAGGGCAAGCGUGGUUUAUCGAGUGGGAGUUGGUUAGUCUAAAUUCAAGCUCAAUUGUAAUAACUUUAAUUUUAGAUUGAAUAUCUUUUAUGUUCCUGGGGUUUGUAAUAUUUAUUUCCUCUAUAGUGCUUUAUUACAGAGGAGAAUAUAUGUCAGGAGAUAAUAAUAUAAAUCGAUUUAUAUAUCUGGUGUUGGCAUUUGUUAUGUCAAUAGGUUUCUUAAUUAUUAGACCUAAUUUAGUUAGAAUUUUAUUAGGUUGGGAUGGCUUAGGGUUAGUAUCAUACGCCUUAGUAAUUUAUUACCAAAAUGAAAAGUCGGCAAAUGCUGGUAUACUUACAGCUCUUUCGAAUCGAGUUGGGGAUGUAGCUAUCCUAUUGGCAAUUUCUUUGUUUUUUAGAUGUGGGGGAUGGAAUUUUUUGUUUUAUGUAGAAAAUAUACCUAAUAUAAGAUUAAAUGGAGUUUUAUGUGGGUUGGUGGUUUUAGCAGGAAUAACUAAAAGUGCUCAGAUUCCAUUUUCGGCCUGGCUGCCGGCGGCCAUGGCAGCUCCUACUCCUGUCUCAGCUUUAGUUCACUCGUCUACUCUAGUUACGGCGGGAGUGUAUUUAUUAAUCCGGUUUAGACCUGCUUUGGAAGGACAAACAUCUCAAAUAAUUCUUCUUUUAUUAUCAAGUUUGACUAUAUUUAUAGCCGGGUUAGGGGCAAAUUUUGAAUAUGAUUUAAAAAAAAUCAUUGCGUUAUCUACAUUGAGUCAAUUAGGGGUAAUAAUAAGAAUUUUGUCAUUAGGGUAUGCGGAUUUAGCCUUCUUUCACUUAUUGGCGCAUGCACUAUUUAAGGCGCUCCUAUUUAUGUGUGCUGGGGCUGUAAUUCACAGAGUGAAGGAUUAUCAGGAUAUUCGUAUAAUAGGAGGAUUAGUAUACCAUAUACCUUUGACGGGAAUAUGUAUAAACCUUGCAAAUCUUGCUCUGUGUGGGACACCUUUUUUAGCCGGGUUUUAUUCUAAAGAUAUAAUUUUGGAGGUAGCAUUUAUGUCACCUAUUAAUCUGGUGUCUUUUCUGUUAUAUGCUUUAGCAACCGGGUUAACCGUGUGUUAUACGAUACGAUUGGUAUACUAUACAUUAUCGGGGGAUUUUAAUCUAGGUAAUUUAUACUCUGUAAGUGAUGAGGGGAAAGUGAUGACUAACCCUAUAAUAGGCUUAAGAGUAGGGGCUAUUUUUGGUGGGGCUAGUUUGGCUUGAUUAAUUUUUCCUUGCCCCUAUAUAAUUUGUAUAAGACCUUUUUUUAAAACAUUAGCUUUGAUUGUAAGAGUAAUUGGGGGAGUAGUAGGAUACUUGUUAAAUCUGAGUGCUGUUAGAUAUAAGUUGAAUUCUUUGGAUACUUACAAAACGGUCGUAUUUUCAGGUUCAAUAUGAUUCAUACCUUAUCUAUCCACUUACGGAAUUAGAAAAAACUUCUUGGGGAGUGGAGAGGCAUACCAGAAAGUUGGAGAUAUAGGGUGAUCAGAGUAUUACGGGGGGCAAGGAAUUUAUUCGUUUGUUAGAAAAAGCUCUAAAUAUUUACAAGUUUUUCAGGAUAAUAGUAUGAAGGUGUAUAUACUAAGUUUUCUUCUUUGGGUAAUCGUGUUAGUAUUUAUAUCAGUUU